rnacentral:misc_RNA from 1 species
GUGAAUCAUCAAUUUUUGAACGCAAAUUGCACUCUCCGGUUUUCCGGGAGAGUAUGCCUGUUUGAGGGUCUGUUUAAAAAAUAAUCGAGGCUGCUGCUGUGGUGGCGUUUGGGAAUGGGGCAAUCUUCCACCUUUGGGGGUGGUAGGGGACUUAAAAUUUUUUUUAGGUUUUUAAGAAAGGGU